AGUGAACGCUGGCGGUAGGCCUAACACAUGCAAGUCGAACGGCAGCACAGUAAGAGCUUGCUCUUACGGGUGGCGAGUGGCGGACGGGUGAGGAAUACAUCGGAAUCUACUUUUUCGUGGGGGAUAACGUAGGGAAACUUACGCUAAUACCGCAUACGACCUACGGGUGAAAGCAGGGGAUCUUCGGACCUUGCGCGAUUGAAUGAGCCGAUGUCGGAUUAGCUAGUUGGCGGGGUAAAGGCCCACCAAGGCGACGAUCCGUAGCUGGUCUGAGAGGAUGAUCAGCCACACUGGAACUGAGACACGGUCCAGACUCCUACGGGAGGCAGCAGUGGGGAAUAUUGGACAAUGGGCGCAAGCCUGAUCCAGCCAUACCGCGUGGGUGAAGAAGGCCUUCGGGUUGCAAAGCCCUUUUGUUGGGAAAGAAAAGCAGCAGGUUAAUACCCCGCUGUUCUGACGGUACCCAAAGAAUAGGCACCGGCUAACUUCGUG
rnacentral:rRNA from 1 species